rnacentral:pre_miRNA from 1 species
UGGGUCUUUGCGGGCAAGGUGAGUAGUUAAAUUUACUCUCAACUGGCCUACAAAGUCCCAGU